UAGGGAAUCUUCGGCAAUGGGGGGAACCCUGACCGAGCAACGCCGCGUGAGUGAAGAAGGUUUUCGGAUCGUAAAGCUCUGUUGUUAAGGAAGAACGAGUGUGAGAAUGGAAAGUUCAUGCUGUGACGGUACUUAACCAGCAAGGGACGGCUAACUACGUGCCAGCAGCCGCGGUAAUACGUAGGUCCCGAGCGUUGUCCGGAUUUAUUGGGCGUAAAGCGAGCGCAGGCGGUUAGAAAAGUCUGAAGUGAAAGGCAGUGGCUCAAACAUUGUAGGCUUGGGAAACUGGUUAACUUGAGUGCAGAAGGGGAGAGUGGAAUUCCAUGUGUAGCGGUGAAGUGCGUAGAUAUAUGGAGGAACACCGGUGGCGAAAGCGGCGCUCUGGUCUGUAAAUGACGAUGAGGAUCGAAAGCGUGGGGAGCGAACAGG
rnacentral:rRNA from 1 species